rnacentral:rRNA from 1 species
AACGAACGCUGGCGGCGCGUCUUAAGCAUGCAAGUCGAACGGUAACGGGCCUUCGGGUGCCGACGAGUGGCGGACGGGUGAGUAACACGUAGGUGAUCUGCCUUUGGGAUGGGGAUAGCUUGUGGAAACACAGGGUAAUACCGAAUGAGGUCCAGUUGCUAUGGCGAUUGGAUGAAAGGGGCUAUGGCCCCGCCUGGUGAUGAGCCUGCGGCUGAUUAGCUAGUUGGUGAGGUAAAGGCUCACCAAGGCGACGAUCAGUAACCGGCCUGAGAGGGUGGUCGGUCACACUGGGACUGAGAUACGGCCCAGACUCCUACGGGAGGCAGCAGCUAAGAAUCUUCCGCAAUGGGCGAAAGUCUGACGGAGCGACGCCGCGUGGGUGGUGAAGGCGGUAACGUUGUAAAGCCCUUUUAUGGAUGAGGAAUAAGCUUAGGAGGGAAUGCCUGAGUGAUGACGGUAAUCCAUGAAUAAGCCCCGGCUAAUUACGUGCCAGCCGCCGCCGUAAGAC